GCGUCGGCGCGGACCCGGAGGUACCUGAUAGGAGCCGCUGGUGAGGGUCAGCUCCGCCAGGACCGCUCGGCCGUUGGCAAUGCAGCUCUUUCUAAGUGCUGCAUAGAAAGGAUGAAGUAGAGUUGAUGUGAACAAGAUCUCCCUGAGAAAGGAGCAUCUGUUAGAGAGACAGGAUGCAUGGAGGUCUCAAGAAAAGUGUUAUGUAUGUGGUGCGAGGACAUGAUAUUUGGAGUUGUUGCAACCAUCUUACCAUCAUGAGGCCACCAACCGGAGGAUGAAAAUCUCACGUGCUGAGGAUACCACAGCAAAAGGAUGGAAAAACCCGGGGCCUGGGUGACAUCACUGAGUGGCUGGGCAGAUUCUUGAACUGUAUGCUUUCAGACUUAUAACUUGAAAUUAUCAUUAUGUCUUUAUUAUAUAUAUCAGUCUAAGUUGGGUAUUCUUUUAAUUGCAAUCAUAAGUAUACAGAUGUAUUCUUAAUUCACCUUUAUCUCCUUUGUCCCAGGAAAAAUUUAAGAUACCCCCAAUACUGUAUGAUUAAAGAAAUAUGAAGUAGGUGAAAAGUGAAGCAAAAUAAAGAAAGGAUAGGGAAGAAAGAUGGAAUGAGGACUGGUGUCAAAACACAAAAGGUGUUCUGUGGCGUGCGAGUGCCAUGUUUUUAUUUUGUGGGAAAAGAAAUACUGUUAAGGCACAAUAUUCAGUAAUUCCUCUUAAAGCCUUGUUGAAUGAUAAGUCAGAGCACCAGCUCCCCUGGGAAGGAGCUCCCUCAUUCUCUCCUCCCCUCUUCCGAGUAUGAAGAUUUUAGCAGGGACAGUCAGGGAAGCCAGUGAAGAGGCAUUAAGAUUGAGGCACUGUGGUGUCACCAUCAGUUGGUUUCCGAUCCCA